GGCGAACGCUGGCGGCGUGCUUAACACAUGCAAGUCGAACGGAAAGGCCCUGCUUUUGUGGGGUGCUCGAGUGGCGAACGGGUGAGUAACACGUGAGUAACCUGCCCUUGACUUUGGGAUAACUUCAGGAAACUGGGGCUAAUACCGGAUAGGAGCUCCUGCUGCAUGGUGGGGGUUGGAAAGUUUCGGCGGUUGGGGAUGGACUCGCGGCUUAUCAGCUUGUUGGUGGGGUAGUGGCUUACCAAGGCUUUGACGGGUAGCCGGCCUGAGAGGGUGACCGGCCACAUUGGGACUGAGAUACGGCACAGACUCCUACGGGAGGCAGCAGUGGGGAAUAUUGCACAAUGGGCGGAAGCCUGAUGCAGCAACGCCGCGUGCGGGAUGACGGCCUUCGGGUUGUAAACCGCUUUCGCCUGUGACGAAGCGUGAGUGACGGUAAUGGGUAAAGAAGCACCGGCUAACUACGUG
rnacentral:rRNA from 1 species